GCCUCGAUAGCUCAGUCGGGAGAGCGUUAGACUGAAGAUCUAAAGGUCCUGGUUC
rfam:Ciona savignyi cont_29102, whole genome shotgun sequence.